rnacentral:rRNA from 1 species
CAAAGAUUAAGCCAUGCAAGUGUCAGUUCAUGCCAAACUAAGGUGAAACCGCGAAAGGCUCAUUAAAUCAGUUAUAGUUUACUUGAUGGCAUGACGUUACCGUUACUUGGAUAACUGUGGCAAUUCUAGAGCUAAUACAUGCACUCGAGUCCCGACCGUUCGCGCGGAAGGGAUGCUUUUAUUAGAUCAAAACCAAUCGGGAAAUCGGGGUUCCGCUUGCGGAACAAACAAAACCCGACGUACCGUGCAAGUCUUGGUGACUCUGGAUAAAUUGUCGCUGAUCGCAAGGUCUCUCGCACCUGCGACGCAUCUUUCAAAUGUCUGACUUAUCAACUAUCGACGGUAUGCCACGUGCCUACCGUGGUGGUAACGGGUAACGGGGAAUCAGGGUUCGAUUCCGGAGAGGGAGCCUGAGAAACAGCUACCACAUCCAAGGAAGGCAGCAGGCGCGCAAAUUACCCACUCCCGGCACGGGGAGGUAGUGACGAAAAAUAACGAUGCAGAACUCUUUUCCGAGGCUCUGCAAUCGGAAUGAGAAGACCCUAAAUCAUUUACCGAGUAUCCAUUGGAGGGCAAGUCUGG